rnacentral:rRNA from 1 species
CCCUUAGAUGUUCCGGGCUGCACGCGCGCUACUCUGAUGCGUUCAACGAGUUUACGACCUUGCCCGAUAGGGUUGGGUAAUUUUCUAAAGCAGCAUCGGGAUGGGGAGAUAUUAUUGCAAUUUUUAACCUCCAACGAGGAAUUUCUAGUAAGUGCGAGUCAUUAGCUCGUGCUGAUUACAUGCCCGCCCUUUGUACACACCGCCUGUCGCCCGUGCCGAUUGAGUGAUCUGGUGAAUAAUUCGGACUGCAGCAGCGUUCAGUCCCUGACGGUCUCAGCGGAAAGUUUAGUGAACCUUCUCACUUAGAGGAAGGAGAAGUCGUAACA